UUCGCAAGCAGCAGUGGCACUGGCUGCUGCUUUCCCUUCCACGCUGCUGCUUGUCACAGGGCUCCUGCGGCUGUCACUCACCAAUCCUCUUCUGUUUCGUUGGAAAGGUCAAAACUGCAACAGGGAAUUCCUGAAUCUGUCUCUGUGGCAGCUGUGCAGACACGUCCUACAAACUGAGCUGGCUGUGGACUUUUCUUUAACGUUUGAUAGCCCCUCUGCAGCCACGGGACCCGCAGAGCGCGGGAAGCUGGGCUGGGACUUGCUUUCCGUCACCCACCCAACACCUGAAGCUGCUGCUCUCAGAAACAGCAAGAGCCAGGGCCAGUUGCUGCCCCGCUGAGCGCCGUGUCCUUGCGUGCGGCGGCAGCUGGGCAGAGAGCAGGGCACAACGCAGAGCGUCCCCUCAGCUUUUAUUCAGUGCUUGUGGCUGGUGCUCAUCAGUAUCAGCUCUGCUAAGACCCAAAUUUCUCUGCUUGAAUGAAAACAGUGGGAGCUACAAAGGCAGGUCUGGAUUUCAAGAGGCUGGAUCCUCCGGGCUCAAGACUUGCACGGUGCAAACAGCCGCACCCGAACCCGCCACCCUCAGCUCCCCUCGCAGCACCCCGAGGAGAGCGCCUGCCCGCUGCAGACAGGUCCUUCAGGACAAGGCGAACCCUUGCGGAAGCGCCUCCUUUCUCCUGCUAGCUCUAACAGGGAUCUGCACCGGGAGCUCAGACACAAGCACCCACGUCCCAUCCAAAGCACUCACCACCCUGCAGCUGAGCCUGCAUGUAGAUGCGACGCAUCACUGCAUGCGCCCCGCGCCCAGCACUUUUUGCAAGUGUAGCAGCUGCUGCAUGAGAUGCACAGAGCCAAACCCAGGUAGCAUGAAAUAAGUGCCUUCAAGCCUGCCAGCCUCGACAAUGUUCUCUGGGUGACUGCCGCUUUCUGCCUCAGAGCUUAGCUGUAAAGGUAUUUGUCCCUGCCAAGAGCCGAGCGGCUCUGGACGCGUAAAGCAGCAGAGCAGAAGCACAUGGGCUCAGAGAGGCCUUCCAGCAACUCAAACUGAGGUGACUUAGGAAUUCACGCUCCUUUACGUGCUGCUUUUCCAGGUGCUGCAGCUCACAGGCCAGCGCGUUAGCCUACCCUGCAGGCCAUCUCCCUUCUUACCCUCCCCAGGGCCGCGACAGCCAAGGAGCAGACGCCCAGCCCAGGGGGCUGAGCCCCCCACCACUGCACAUGGAUGCACCAAGGGCACCCGGCCCCACAGCUGGCACCCUCGGAGAGGAAAACGCUUGCAGGGAGGUUGGGCAAGUGCCGGGAGAAGACAGCGGUCCAGGCAGGCCCCACAGAAAGGAGCUGGUUUGGGGCACGCAGCAAUACCUCAGGGGGGACUGGAGGGUGCCGCGCAGCUCUGCUGCCAGCCCACAUGCCAAGAGGGAUGGCUCAGGCAUCAGAAACGCUGUUUAACCUGUCCCUCCAUCACAGGAUAGAGUCUGCAGCUUCCCUCUGACACCUCUCACAUCCGACAAAGGGCCACAUUUGCAUUUCCUCUCGCGUCUCCUAUGCAAUAGGGAGGUCCCUGCGCAGGAGCUGCUGCUUUUACAUGCUUUUUUAUGCAACCUCCCAAGCUCACCCUGCCAGCUCCCACAGGCACCUUCAGCUUGCACCCCAGCAGGCCAUCGUGUCCCCCAGCAGACAGGAGCUGCCCCAGCGCCUCACUGCACCCAGCCUCUGCCAGCAGUCAGGAGAGACUCAUAAGGGGGGCUGCAGGCAUGAGGUGGCCCUCACACAUACCAAUUUACAGCUCCUGGCCUCCUAGAAAAGAUCACAACUUCAGCCACCUCUUCGUCGCACAGAACAAGGAUGUUUUAACUCCAAACAACAGGCAACGAGCUUUCCAGGCCACUCACCAGGGCGAGCACUACCAGCGUGCCCAGGAGAGGUGGAGGGGUAGCUCCUCUCCAGCCCCAGCUGUCCGACAGCACCCAGUAACAUCACAGCUCUGGGGUGUUUCUUCUUUGAAUCUAAAGGACCUUCCCCAAGAGUUUCUCCUUGACCUAGAAAAUGCUGAAGCAAAUUUUCUUUCAGUUCCCUAGACUGCAAACCCCAUUCCCCAGAAGAAGAAACAUCAAGUGGAAAGCACAUAGUGCAAGAUGGCAUGUGGGGCACAAGGACCUUUAUCCCACAAUCCAAAAAGCUGUAAACACCAGGCUACUCUGGCAUAGCCUAAUUUUAUUUUAGAUAUCACAAUAAAGCAUGGAACUAGCAAACAAAGGUA